CUUCCUGCUAGUCUGACGCUGGCGGUCUGUGAUCCGCAGCUAGAGCCUCCUUAUUCUGCAGCCUGGAUGUUGCCACACCUGCAACAUAUGGAAGUUCCUGGGACAAGGAUUGAAUCCUAGCUGCAGCUGCGACCCAUGCUUCAUCUGCAGCAACACUGGAUCCUUUAACUCACUGCACCUGGCAGGGAAUCAAAACCACGCCAGUGACCCAAACUGCUGUAGUUGGAUUCUUAACCCACUGCACCACAGCGGAAACCCUGUGUUUGUUUGUUUGUUUAUUUUGCUGCACCCACAGUAUACAGAAUUCCCUGGGCCAGGAAUCGAACCUGUGCCACAGCUGGAACCAGAGCCACAGCAGUGACAAUGCUGGAUCCUUAACCCACUGAGCCAUGAGGUAACUCCUAGACCCUUAUUUUAUUUAUUUAUUUAUUUUUUUUCUGAAGAAAGCUUGGAAAGCUUUUAUUGUUUUAGUGUCCCAGCCACUAUAUGAUCUUGCAGGAGUCAUAUGGAUUUUUUUCUCUCUUUUUUUCUUUCUGGUUUUUUUUGUUUUUCUUUUCUUUUUUUUUCCUCACCUGCAGCAUGCGGAAGUUCCCAGGGCCAGGGAGCCAACCUGCGCCACAGCAGCAACCCAAGCCACUGCAGUGACAACACCAGAUCUUGAACCCACUGUGCCACAGGAGAACUCCAUGUUAUUUGAAAUUGAAUGGAUUAGAGAGCACGUCUAAACAGAAGUCUCGGAAUAACAAUAAAGAGACCCUUAUUUUAUUUAUUUUAUUCUUCUUUCUUUUUUUUUUUGGUGUUUUUUUUUUGUUGUUUGUUUGUUUUUGUUGUUUUUUUUUGCCAUUUCUUGGGCCGCUCCUGCGGCCCAUGGAGGUUCCCAGGCUAGGGGUCGAAUCAGAGAUGUGGCAGCAACGCGGGAUCCGAGCGGCAUCUGCGACCCACACCUCACGGCUACGCCAGAUCCUGAACCCACUGAGCGAGGGCAGGGAUUGAACCCUCAACCUCAUGGUUCCUAGUCGGAUUCGUUAACCACUGUGCCACAACGGGAACUCCAAGAGACCCUUAUUUUAAAUGACAAUGGUCAUAGAAAAACAGUAUGCUUGAAACUGUCCUCAGAAGCAGUGUCUUCUUCAGUGGCUGGUAUCUUAGUGCCUGAUACUGGGAGGAGUUGGCAAGUCAAAGGGCAAAACGAGGGCAGGUGGAAGAGGCCAAGCGGCGGCCCCUCUGUGGCAUCCAGAAAGGAACAAAAUACUCCCGUUUCCCAGAAGUCCUUUCUUUUUUUUUUUUUCCUCUAUCUUUUUUUGAGUCUUUAGGUUACCAGACAGCAAGACAUUAACAGAAUUAUAGAAAUAAAUUCAUUCCAACAAACAAUUUUGAGUCCCUUUUAAGGGCCACACCGGUGCAUGAGGAGGCAGGAAGAAAACCACAGUCUCUGCCCUCAAGGAGGUCAGGCCUACUCAGCCAUAAGAAAAGACAAAUAAUGCCAUUUGCAACAGCAUGGAUGGAACUAGAGACUCUCAUACUAAGUGAAGUUAGUCAAAAAGACAAAGACAAAUACCGUAUGAUAUCACGUGUCUGGACUCUCAUAUAUGGCACAAACAAACCUUUCCCCAGAAAAGAAACUCAUGGACUUGGAGAACAGACUUGUGGUUGCCAAGGGGGAGGGGGAGGGAAUGGGAUGGACUGGGAAGCUGGGGUCAGUAGAGGCAAACUAUUGCCUUUGGAAUAGAUAAGCAAUGAGAUCCUGCUAUAUAGCACAGGGAACUAUCUUUAGUCACUUAUAAUGGCACUUAAUGGAGGAUAAUACGAGAAAGAGAAUGUAUACAUGUAUGUGUGACUGGGUCAAUUUGCUGUAAUGUACAGUAGAAAAUUGACAAAACACUGUAAACAAACUAUAAUGGAAAAAAUAAAAAUCUUUUAAAAA
rnacentral:lncRNA from 1 species